rnacentral:lncRNA from 1 species
GAACCUGAACUAACACUGUGCAGAGUACCAAUGACAAAUAGACAUAUGCUUCUCAAACUUUAAGAUGCAGACAUGAAACCUGUGAGUUUGUUAAAAUGAAGAUUUUGGCUCAGUGGGUCUGGGAUAGAGCUGAGGGUCUGCAUUUUAUUUUAUUUACUUAUUUAUUUCCUCCAAGGGUCUGCAUUUUAACAAGCUCCCAGUGAUGCUGAUACUGCUGGUCUGAGGACAACACUUUGAAUAGUGAGGACUUAUAACAUAGUUUUGUCAAUGCUGCUCACAGAGGGCAUGCCAGCAAAAGGCUUAUAUUGUACAGCCUCACCUGGAGGUACAACUGAGUCAGAAUGACAGAUGCUGUCUUGUCUCAAAGGAGAAUUUGGCAUCUUCAAGGUCCUCUACUGUCCCUCGUUCCUCUCUUUGGAUAAUUCUCCACUACACCUCAGUAACUGUUUAGAAGAGACACCUGAAUAAAUGGACCUGGGAGGCCAGGUGGAGCUGAGGCCAACAUUUUCAGCGUGGGCCUCAAACAGGCCCACUGUGUCAGUGGCCUCCCUUAUAAAUUGGCUCCUGUACAGAUCACAGCAGUUUGGAUGGGUGCCCCAGGCCAAAGCCCUUGGCAUAUGAACCUCUGCCUCACUCUCCUAAGGGGAGCUACAGCCCUCUUAAGAACUAGCAGGAGUCCCUGUCAUGGCUCAACAGAAACAUAUCUUACUAGCAUCCAUGAGGACAUAGGUUUGAUCCCUCUCCCUGCUCAGUGAGUUAAGGAUCCAGCGUUGCUGUGAGCUGUGGUCUAAGUCGCAGACACGGCUUGUAUCUGGGGUUGCUGUGGCUGUCAUGUAGGCCAGAAGCUACAGCUCCGAGGCGACCCCCAGCCUGGGAGCCUCCAUAUGCCACAGGUGCGGCCCUAAAAAGAAAGAAAGAAAAAAAAGUCUCACAACUUAAUUGUGGGCAGUGAGAGCCCUCACCUUCCCCUAUCUCUUCCACUUUCCCCCAGUCCUCUCCCCACCCAUUUGCUGACCUUUUGUGCAGGUCACAGAAGAAACAGGUGAAGUACAUCUCUCGUCUAGCAUAAUGCCUUUCUAGAAAUGGGAUAUUUAAAUCUUCUGUUUACACAGAAAAUGCGUUCUCACAAACUGCUUUGGGGGAGGCCCAAUUUGGAAAUCGUUCCCAUUUGCAAACCUCUGUGGUGAGUUCUUAGUAACCUGGGAGAGAAAGAAAGCAAGUUACGUGUCCCCUCAGCUCCUGCUCUGCUGUGCACAGCAGUGUGGCCACAGCCAAGUCACUUAGCUUCUUUGAGGCUGAUUUUCUCGUCUACCACAGAGAACACUGAACCUACAGCUCCGAUUCGACCCCCACCCUUCUCAGGGUGGGUAUGCGGAAGGGACAACCAAAAGCCCUGGCACAGAGUGGGCAUAUUAUUUAGCUCCUGUGGCCAUGCUUUUUAUCUUGACUACCUUUUCAAUGGCUAGACUCUAAGAAGCAGCCCAGGGCCCUGUUACAAGAGCAUGUGAAUCUGUGAUGGGCUGGGUGGACAUAAACUGUGAGGACAAGUAGAUCAAGACCUCUCUCCCCCACUGAUCGCCAGGAACAAUGGGGCUCCUCUGGCUGGCUCCCUCUCAGGUCUCCAAGAGACAAUUCCUCCUUGGAAGAGAAGCAACAAAAUAAACCGAGGCCUCAUCCAGGCUGUCCCCUACUGAACUUGCUGCAUCCUCUCCCCUGAAUGUCAUCUGUUGUCCUUAACUUAAUGGCCUGGCUUUUGGAAUCCGGGGUUGCCGCUAUCCACUCCCUGUAGGCAUCAUCUGACUACCUCCAUCCAUCUGGGCCUGAGUACCCCCAACAACCAGACACACAUAAAUACCACAUACACAGCCUCACACACACAGGAACACAUACAGAACUGCCUUCCAACAAUGCAGCUGACCUCCCUUUUAUUCUUACCAGUUAACUGGAAAUUUGAAUCUAAUGUUUCAAAAAGCUCAUAAAAAUAACACUAAAUGUAGUUUUCUCCUGGUUUCAAAUCCUAGUUUCCAAAUUUUUAACAUCAGAACUUAAAAGAAAAAUAACCAAUGUCAUCAUCAACCAUAAAACAAAUGUGUUUACUUAAAAAGACUACCAGCUCCAAGCUAAAAAGGGAGCCUAGUGCCUCCAGAAUAAUGCUGCAUUACAGAGUGGUCCCUUUCUGCAUUUCCAGUGCUAUCCUUCCUGCCUCUUCACCUUCUCUCUCCCUUCUCUUAGGCUCUGUCAUUGGGCAGAGGAAGCACAAUUAUCGGUCCACCGAUAAUUUGUUCCAAGUUCUUCCACCAUAUCCACCAAAGAAAGGCAGAAGACAAUGCAGCGUUUAUUUCAUUCAUGUUCCAAGAGUCUGAGAUCCAGAUCUGCUAUGUACUGGCUGAGAGAUUUGGAAAACUCAUUUAUUCUUUCUGAGCCUCAGUUUACCCAUAUAGCAAAGAAGGACAGUAAUACGUAUUGACAAAGAUUUUGUGAAGGAAAAAAUAAAAAAUAUUUCUAAAAGUACUUGAGGGAGUUCCUGUCGUGGCUCAGUGGUUAAUGAAUCCGACUAGGAACCAUGAGGUUGCGGGUUCGAUCCCUGGCCUUGCUCAGUGGGUUAAGGACCCAGCGUUGCCAUGAGCUGUGGUGUAGGUUGCAUUCGAGGCUCGGAUCCCCUGUUGCUGUGGCUCUGGCAUAGGCUGGCAGCUACAGCUCUGAUUAGAUCCCUAACCUGGGAACCUCCAUAUGCCGCGGGUAUGGCCCUAGAAAAGACAAAAAGACAAAAAUAAAUAAAUAAAUAAAAUAAAAGUACUUGAGGCUCUUGAAUAUCGCCUGACACAGAUGAUAUAUUACUUACAAAAAUCUUUUGUCAUCUCUAAGCCACUAUACAAUUUUAAAAAUUAAUUUUAUACAUAUUAGUUACAUAUAAAAUUAGUUAUACUCUAUAUAUCAGUAAUAAUUAUUAUGACUGAUUUUUUAUUCAGAUUCUCACAAACUUAAUGAAUCAAAUUAUACAGAAUUAAUGAGCAGAUUUUAACUAUUAACCACGAUUGUAAGUGUCUUAUUUUGUUUGUUAUGACUGAUUUUUUAACACACUCUGAUUUCUCUAAGGUUCUAAAUCUACAGUCUCAUAAUUGUUCAUACUUUGUAAGGCACAAAGUAACAGCAUUUUAUUUCGAUAAAAUUUUGCUUUUCAUAACUGAAAAUUAAAUGGCCAGAAAUGAGAGAUUCUGGGACACACUAGGGACACACUUGGAACUGCAACACACUCAAUUCUUCUUUUUUUUUCUUUUUUUUUUUUUUUUUUGUCUUUUUAGAGCUGCACCAGUGGCAUAUGGAGGUUCCCAGGCUAGGGGUCGAAUUGGAGCUGUGGCCACUGGUCUACGCCACAGCCACAGCUACACGAGAUCUGAGCCGCAUCUGUGACAUACACCACAGCUCAUGGUGAUGCCGGAUCCUUAACCUACUGAGGGAGGCCAGGGAUUGAACCUGUGUCCUCAUAGAUCCUAGUCAGAUUCGUUUCCGCUCAAUUCUUAACUAUAAUAAGAAUGCCUUAAUUCUUAAAUAUAAUAAAACCCUUCUUUUACAACAAAAGCGGGGGGGGAGUUCCCUUCGUGGCUCAGCAGUUAACAAACCUGACUAGGAUCCACGAGGACGAAGGUUCUAUCCCUGGCCUCACUCUGUAGGUUAAGGAUCAGGCGUUGCUGUGAGCUAUGGCAGAGGCUGGCAGCUGUAGCUCCAACUGGACCCCUAGCCUGGAACUUCCCCUAGCCUGGUGCAGCCAUAAAAAAAAAAGAAGCCAAAAAUAAAUAAAUAAAUAAAACCCUGAAAAACUUAAACUAAUGUAACUAGAAAAACUGUAUGACUAAAAAUGAUUCCUGCUUCUGAAAGCUCUGCUAAUCAUGGAAACUAGCAGAUUAUAUUAAAUAAGAGGUAAUCUGAAUAGUUAAUUGAUCAGCUCACCUGUUGUACUGGUUUUGUUAAUCACACUAUUACUUAAAUUUCAUUAUAAAUUUUUCUCCCAAGUUUGAGUGUGAGUACAAAUAUCUAUUUUCUUCUGUGUGUUUUUUCCUCCUGAGCAUCCCAUGGAAGUGAAAUAAAUCAAAGUGAUGUAAAGUUCACCCUUUCUGCCACCUCUGGUCUUAUGUUAUAAUCUGAUGGACAAGUCAUACAUUUUUUUCUUAGUUCUAAAAAUAUUAAACCCCAAUAGCCAAGCGCCAAUUACAAAUAUUUAAUUAGAGUUCUAGGAGAAAACAUCUUAACUUUGAACUGGUGAUUUGGUUUUAAAAUUAGCUGGAAGGAGAAAACAUGCUCAGCAGCUCCACCUUGCUGACCCCAGCCCCACCCUCUUUUGUUGGGGUCCCCAUGGUUUUCUUAGGAGUAAAACACCCCUGGUUCCUGGCCUGCUAAGAGAUGAGACUUGCUGCUGCUGUGAUCUUUUCCUGGGACACCUAUCUGGAAGGCCAGGGGGUACGUCUUUUAAUCAGUAAGCUGACAUUUACAUGAAGUCAGAGUGUCUUGGUUGUAACUAAAAGCUGGUCUUCACUAUAUUUAGGGAUGGUUGGUUGGCCUUAUUCCAUCUUUCUAUGCCAAGUGCAGAGCUGCAACUCAAUUAACAUUUUAAUUUCAAUUGAAUUAGUGAUCUUGUUCUUGACCUUGUACUCAGAGACCUGAAUAAUGGGAGGUUAAUUUAGCUGAGAAUAUAGCCUUUUGCCAUAUUUAUAACUAAUAUUUGAGGAGACUUGGGGCAGGGGGAGAAACAUGAAAAGCCAAGAGAAUAUUGGAUCCACAUCUGGGUACCUAGUGAAAGCUACAAUUAAAAAUAAUUUGGGGAAAUGGGCUGGCUCUUAUAAAAUAUAAUGUGAUGUUUCCCAGCUGGAAAAAACAGCUGCUGGGAAAGUGAGUUGGAGGUCAAGGUUUCAGGGAUACUUCAAUCUCACUGACAUGCACUUAAUUUCAUGAGAGUCAAAGCAUGGAUGCCUCUUCCUUUCACCAAUCUUUUUUACCAUUCCAAUGAUCCCCAAGACUACAUGUCAUACUACAUAAAAGCUAUCUGCUCAAUUUAAACAUUAUUUUACACUAUGUCAUGCUCUUCCCCCGCCAGCUUUAUUGAGAUAUAAUUGAUAUGUAUCAUCAUGUAAGUUUAAGGCAUACAAUGUGAUGAUCUGCAAUAUACAUGUAGUGACAUGAUUAGCACAAGGUUCAUUAACGCAUCUAUCACCUCACAAAAUCACCAUUUUUUGUAGUGAGAACUUUUAAGAUCUACUCUUCUUACUAAUUUCAAAUAUACAAUAUAGUAUUAUUAACUAUAGUCAUCAUGCUAUACUUUAGAUCUCCAGAAUGUAUUCAUUCUUCUGAGAGUUUGUACUAAGUGAUCUUUUUUUGUGUGACUUUUAUAAGUAUACGGAUUUUUAAAUGUCAGUAAAGAUCUUUUAGACGAUUCCUUAAAGAUUUUUUAAAAUAUACAGCAGUGAAAUUUUCUUGAAAUGAUAAAAGGCUGGGCGUCAAAUGCUAAGUAAAAUAUUAUACUAUUGUUUUGGGCGCUAUGAAGGGAGAUGAAGUUAGAUGGAAUAGGAUGUUGGUUUUGAAGGAACUUCAGAGAUUAACUCUCUCCUUUUACAGGUGAGAAACGGAGGCCUGGGGAGUGUUCAUGAUUUGCCAGAAU